UGUUACUUUUGUUGAUCCUUCCAAGACUCAAAUUACCCCUCAACAACAAUAUAUUAUUCUUGGUCGAAAAGUAGGUAACUUUCCUUGUUUCCGUUUUCUACAUCUUAAUUUGGAUAUAAGAAUUUAUUGAGUAGCUGAAUAAUCAGGUGGAGGCGAGACCAGCAAAACCGAAAGUAGAAAUAGGGAAGAGGAAGAUAUUUGUGGGAGGAUUGCCUCGAUCCAUAACAAAUGAAGAAUUCAAAAGAUAUUUCGAGAAAUUUGGAAGCAUUGUUGAUGCAGUGGUAAUCCAUGACAAAAAAACUAAGAGAAGCAGAGGGUUUGGGUUUGUGACAUAUGAAGCAAAGGAGUCAGCCAACCUUGUAUUGCGAACUCAUUUCCAUCUAUCAAACAACAAGAGAGUUGAAGUGAAGAAGGUGACUCCUAGGCAGGAGAUGGUGCCAACCGGAUUCCUUAUUAUUACGAUCCAUAUUAUCAAACAUAUUUUUACGCCGUCUGGGUGCCCAUUCCUGGAUUUUACUGAACCUCACUUGGAAAUUUUUGCGGAGAUAGUUUACAAACCGGAGCAGCAGAGGAAGGCAGACAUGAAGAGAUUUGUGAACCUUUUGUCAUAAGUGUUGCACACAUGUGUUUAAUUGUUUUUUUCAGUUUAAAUUUAAACAGGGGAGGGACCUGAAUCCUGAUUAUCAGGAACAUUGUUGUUUUUUUAAUCUUUUUAAUUAUGUUGUUUUACUCUUUUAAUGUUUUAUGGUGGUUUUAAAUUUAUUUGCAUUCUCCAAUAAUUAUCCUCCUCUCAGUUGUAUCAUAUACAUGGGUUGUCUUCUAGGUUUUGGAUUAAAAUCAUAGAAAAUUUCAAGGUGAUGAAACCAAA